rnacentral:rRNA from 1 species
ACAAAGGGCAGCAAGUUCGCGAGGACAAGCAAAUCCCAUAAACCGUGGCUCAGUUCAGAUCGUAGGCUGCAACUCGCCUACGUGAAGUAGGAAUCGCUAGUAAUCGCAGGUCAGCAUACUGCGGUGAAUACGUUCCCGGGCCUUGUACACACCGCCCGUCACACCAUGGAAGUUGGCCACGCCCGAAGCCGUUACUCCAACCCUUGUGGAGGAGGACGUCGAAGGUGGGGCUGAUGACUGGGGUGAAGUCGUAACAAGGUAGCCGUACCGGAAGGUGGCUGGAUCACCUCCUAA